rnacentral:rRNA from 1 species
AUCAGAAUGUCGCGGUGAAUACGUUCCCGGGCCUUGUACACACCGCCCGUCACACCAUGAGAGUUGGCAAUACCCAAAGUUCGUGAGCUAACGCGUAAGCGGGGCAGCGACCUAAGGUAGGGUCAGCGAUUGGGGUGAAGUCGUAACAAGGUAGCCGUAGGAGAACCUGCGGCUGGAUCACCUCCUUU